rnacentral:misc_RNA from 1 species
ACAAUCAAACCGCGCGCGCACGUAUGUGAUUGUGGCUAUGAUAAUAGGACCUAUUUUGACGGGACUCUAUGUUUUUCUUACCUUCCUACGACUGAAAUAAUAAACAAGCAAUGCUCAAUAUGACUAAAUAUAUUUUGCACGAUUCUUAAAUUGAACAGGUCGAUGAAGCGAUUUUCCCACUAACAUGAACACAAAGACAGCCACUACUUUUGUGUUUCAUAGAUGCUUUGAAUAGCGCGUUUGUUUUCUUUGAAAGAGGCUUGAUGGUUUAUACAUAACCCAUCAGAUAUGCCUUAAACUGUUUAAAUAUGCUAUAAGUAUCCUCGCCUAUGUAUUAUUUAUAAGUAAAAAUACAAAAAAUCUAGUUCCUAUUGUCCUUUCUGAUAUAUUUCAUUUUAUCAAAUCAAAUAUACAACAUGACUGAUAAAUUACAUUUUAUUAAAUCAAAUAUACAACAUGACUAAUCAUGUUGUAUAUUUGAUGUGAUAAAAUGAAAUAUAUCAGGAAGGAUACUAUACAUUAACAGAAAUAUCAUAAUCUAAGGAGUCGAUACGGCCGCAACCAUCGGGCCCUCUUAAAAAAAUAUUCAUGUUGAAAACAAGAAUAUACCAAACUUCUUUUUUUAAAAUCAAAUUUGUUCUGUUUGCAAUUGUUUCAGAUACAAAAUGUGAAUACAAUUAUAUUAAUUGUAUAUAUUGUUAAAUAAUUUGAACAACGUUAUGUUACUUAUUUACAUUUUCACUCCUCCUUGGCACAUAAUCUUACCUCUAUCUUUUUAGAGGUCCGUGUUGCUUUGUUUUAAAUUUGUUUUUCGUUUUAUGGAUAUAUGAGAUGAUUUACAGUUUGUUAUUGCCAUUUUUUCAGUUGUACUAAUUAGGGAGUGAUGUAUAAAAGUAUGUUUUAGU